rnacentral:pre_miRNA from 1 species
UCACCUGGGGAUCUGAUUAAAAGGCAGAUUCUGAUUUAGUAGAUCUGAGAUGGAGCUGAAUUUCUAAAAAGUUCUCAGUUGAUGCAGAUGCUGCU